UUGACCUCAUGAUCCGCCUGCCUUGGCUUCCCAAAGUGCUGGGUUUACAGGCAUGAGCCACGGUGCCUGGCCUCAAAGUUACAUUCUUAACCAAUAGGUAAGGAGAGCAGCCUGU